rnacentral:rRNA from 1 species
UACGUAGGGAGCAAGCGUUGUCCGGAAUUAUUGGGCGUAAAGAGCUCGUAGGCGGUGUGUCGCGUCGGUCGUGAAAACUUGGGGCUUAACUCUGAGCUUGCGGUCGAUACGGGCAUCACUGGAGUUCGGCAGGGGAGACUGGAAUUCCUGGUGUAGCGGUGAAAUGCGCAGAUAUCAGGAGGAACACCGGUGGCGAAGGCGGGUCUCUGGGCCGAUACUGACGCUGAGGAGCGAAAGCGUGGGGAGCGAACAGG